rnacentral:rRNA from 1 species
GACCUGCGGAGGGAUCAUUACCGAGUUUACAACUCCCAAACCCCUGUGAACAUACCAAUUGUUGCCUCGGCGGAUCAGCCCGCUCCCGGUAAAACGGGACGGCCCGCCAGAGGACCCCUAAACUCUGUUUCUAUAUGUAACUUCUGAGUAAAACCAUAAAUAAAUCAAAACUUUCAACAACGGAUCUCUUGGUUCUGGCAUCGAUGAAGAACGCAGCAAAAUGCGAUAAGUAAUGUGAAUUGCAGAAUUCAGUGAAUCAUCGAAUCUUUGAACGCACAUUGCGCCCGCCAGUAUUCUGGCGGGCAUGCCUGUUCGAGCGUCAUUUCAACCCUCAAGCCCAGCUUGGUGUUGGGACUCGCGAGUCAAAUCGCGUUCCCCAAAUUGAUUGGCGGUCACGUCGAGCUUCCAUAGCGUAGUAGUAAAACCCUCGUUACUGGUAAUCGUCGCGGCCACGCCGUUAAACCCCAACUUCUGAAUGUUGACCUCGGAUCAGGUAGGAAUACCCGCUGAACUUAAGCAUAUCAAAA